rnacentral:lncRNA from 1 species
AUUAUCCUCAAUCUCACGUGGCUAUCCACUAUCCAAGUGUCUCCUAGAGAUCACUUUACUUUCUCUUUCAAUUGCCACGGCCAUUGCCAAUCCAUUCUCGCAAUAAACUCACACGAACACUCCGUUCAUAAAUCUAAGCCAAACUCCUCAACAAAGUUACCGGCCAAAUCAAUUACCUUAGUUUCCACAGGUGGUCCAUAGACCGCCAAUUCCACGAAGACCUACCGCCUAAACCUAUCUCAGCAACGCAUCGCGUCUCUCACUCGCAGCGUAAACCCAAUCAACAUUACUAGGCGAAAUUCUCAUUUGGGAAUUCGCACACACUCCAACU